rnacentral:rRNA from 1 species
AGAACGAACGCUGGCGGCAGGCCUAACACAUGCAAGUCGAGCGACCCAGCAAUGGGGAGCGGCAGACGGGUGAGUAACACGUGGGAACGUACCCUUCGGUUCGGAACAACUCGGGGAAACUUGAGCUAAUACCGGAUACGUCCGAGAGGAGAAAGAUUCAUCGCCGAAGGAUCGGCCCGCGUCUGAUUAGCUAGUUGGUGAGGUAAUGGCUCACCAAGGCGACGAUCAGUAGCUGGUCUGAGAGGAUGAUCAGCCACAUUGGGACUGAGACACGGCCCAAACUCCUACGGGAGGCAGCAGUGGGAAUAUUGGACAAUGGGCGCAAGCCUGAUCCAGCCAUGCCGCGUGAGUGAUGAAGGCCUUAGGGUGUAAAGCUCUUUACCUGGGAAGAUAAUGACGGUACCAGGAGAAUAAGCCCCGGCUAACUUCGUGCCAGCAGCCGC